rnacentral:rRNA from 1 species
AUGCGUACGGAGCGUUGCAAUUUCAAGCUCGACGGCCUCGACAUCCACUUCCGGCCGUGGCGCGCCGUCUCUCACGCCUAUAACGCCGACCUCCACUUCCGCGUCCACGUGGUCGUUGACGGCCUUCCUCCUUUCGCUUGGAGGCCGGAAGUGGUGGACCAGAUCGUGGGCCGCAAGUGCGCGGUCCAACGCCUCGACGACGGCUUCACUACCAUGGAGGAUACCUCCUCCUUCGGCUUUUGGGCAUGGACGCCUUCUCCUCAUCGCAUCCCCAAGGUGCUGUGGUGCACGCUGGUGAACAAGGGUGCGGGUGGCCUCUCCUCCAAGGUCAUCGAGGAGGAUCGCCCUAAUCAAUGGAAGAGAGGCGUCUCGUACCGCGUCCUGCUCCAUGUCGACCGCGUCGAGGAUUUCACUGAAGCUCCGGUCUUGGACGGCGGUGAGCCGCUCACCAACUUCAGGCCCGUUUCGCACUCCCUGUCGCAAUGCAACCUAGGCACCAUUGACGGCCGGCCCGUUGGUGAGGGCUCGGGUUCCAUCCUUCCGGCCCCCAUCCCAGCUUUGGGCGAACUCGGCCCAGCCUACCAUCGACGCCACGACGACGAAGAU